UGCUUGUGCUAGGGGCGCCAAAAUGGCUGAGAAGAACCCUUCGAACCUGAACUGAUUAACAUCAGCGUAGGAAAGUGCUACAUUUUUUAA
rfam:Leuconostoc mesenteroides subsp. mesenteroides ATCC 8293, complete genome.